rnacentral:rRNA from 1 species
UACAGAGGUCUCAAGCGUUGUUCGGAUUCAUUGGGCGUAAAGGGUGCGUAGGCGGCGCGGUAAGUCGGGUGUGAAAUCUCGGGGCUUAACUCCGAAACUGCAUUCGAUUCUGCCGUGCUUGAGGACUGGAGAGGAGACUGGAAUUUACGGUGUAGCGGUGAAAUGCGUAGAUAUCGUAAGGAAGACCAGUGGCGAAGGCGGGUCUCUGGACAGUUCCUGACGCUGAGGCACGAAGGCCAGGGGAGCAAACGGG